UGCUAAGGACGGCCUGUGGCAGGGCCACUCCACACCCCUCAGCGUCCGGGCCACACAGACACAGAACGCAAGAGAGAGACUGACCCACCCACGCACCGGUACCCAUAGACGCAGAGACCGAGGCAGAAAUGACGGGAUUGCCGCAGACCGGCCAGGAGCAGGGACAGACAGCGGCUCCGCAGACUCUGGUGGGACUGGGCUGAGGCCACUCUCGUGUUCUCACCACACCCUCUC
rnacentral:lncRNA from 1 species